AUCCCAGAUAAGCUCAGAAUCUGUGCUUAGCUGAUUCAUAGGAGGCCCAUAACAAAGUCUUGGAAGUUUCGCUGAUAAAUGCCUGUUUUACUCAUUAAUAUUAGGCAUUUACUAGUAACUUUUUCCGUACAAAU